GCAGUCGAGCGAGAAAGUGGCUUCGGCCAUGAGUACAGCGGCGAACGGGUGAGUAACACGUGGGUAACCUGCCUGGGAGUGGGGAAUAACCUGGGGAAACUCGGGCUAAUACCGCAUACGGUCGCGAUGCUUAAGUGUCGCGAAGAACGGUGGCCUCUCGCAGAAGCUGCCGCUCCCAGAGGGGCCCGCGCCCGAUUAGCUAGUUGGUGGGGUAACGGCUCACCAAGGCUGCGAUCGGUAGCCGGCCUGAGAGGGCGAUCGGCCACACUGGAACUGAGACACGGUCCAGACUCCUACGGGAGGCAGCAGUAGGGAAUAUUGCGCAAUGGGCGAAAGCCUGACGCAGCAACGCCGCGUGGGGGAUGAAGGCCUUCGGGUUGUAAACUCCUGUCAAGUGGGGCGAAAGAGCUCCGGUUAAGAGCUAGAGUUCUUGACGGUACCACUAGAGGAAGCCCCGGCUAACUCCGUGCCAGCAGCCGCGGUAAUACGGAGGGGGCAAGCGUUAUUCGGAAUUAUAGGGCGUAAAGGGCGCGCAGGCGGCUUGAUAAGUCGAAGGUGAAAUCCCCCGGCUCAACCGGGGAACUGCCUUCGAAACUAUCUAGCUAGAGGCCGGGAGAGGGUAGCGGAAUUCCCAGUGUAGCGGUGAAAUGCGUAGAUAUUGGGAGGAACACCAGUGGCGAAGGCGGCUACCUGGACCGGUUCUGACGCUGAGGCGCGAAAGCGUGGGGAGCAAACAGGAUUAGAUACCCUGGUAGUCCACGCUGUAAACGAUGGGCACUCGGUGCUGCGG
rnacentral:rRNA from 1 species